rnacentral:lncRNA from 1 species
CAGGAGACAAAUGUUUAUAAUCUUUUUCUUUAAUUAAACGCCUUUUAAUCUAGCUAGUUGUUAUUCUAAAAUAUUAUUUGUUCAUGUAGAAGUGGACUAUUGUACUUUAUGAUUAUGAUGAUUUAAUUAUCGACCAGAAAUACGUAAUCAAUGUUUGGGUUAAAGUAAAGAACAUGUCUCCUUUGAACUUGAAACCAUAGAACGAAGGGAAUCAGAGGAAGAGACAGGACUGGUAAUUGAACGUAUUCUUGUGAAAGCAAUUCUUAUUUUUUCCCAACUAAAUAUUACAGAUUUUGUAUACUCUCCUAUUAGUUUUUGAUAAACAGAGUAAAAACAAAAUAAAAAAGAGAACUGUGGCAAUGAAACUGCACGUGUAGUGAAUAUGAAUCGCUGGAUCAUGUCGCUUUGUAUUUGUGUGGCCACUGCGGUAGGACCGUGCGUUUGGCAUUUUUCUUAGAUCAGAUUCAAGUCUCAUUUCCCAAAGUACGCAUAGGUUGCUGCUAUAAAGAGAGUAUAGUGUGAGAUUAGAUCAUCCGUCGUAGUCACUCGGAUCUUUUGUUAGACACUGCGAUUGGAAUUUACUAUAAUAAGUUUUGUUUUUUAUAUAUUCAAAUAAAUUUUCCAGUAAAUUUUUAUUCUGCAUAGAAUGAAGUUAUCCAACAAUCAUCGAACAAAGAACAAAAUUGUAUAAGUAUUUAAUUUACAAAAAAAAUAGAAAUGUUUUAUUGAUGAACAUUAAAAUUGCUAAUAGAUUUUGAACAAGAAUUAGGUUCACCCCCGAGGUGAACCUUUAAAUUCACCUCUCCUCUUAUUAUCAAUCAAAAUGCCACGUAAAUUAAUAAUAAAAUAGAUUAAUUUUAUUUAAAAAAAUCUGAAAUAAUUGAAAAAAAUAAUAACGUCAAUUUUAAUGAUGCUAACGCCACUAACUAAACCCUAAAUUUUAAAUCUAUACCCUAAACCCUAAACCCAAAUCCUAAACCCUAAACCCAAACCGUAAACCUUAAACUCGAACCCUAUAUCCUAAACCCAAAUCCUAAACCCUAAACCCAAACCGUAAACCUUAAACUCGAACCCUAUAUCCUAAACCCAAAUCCUAAACCCUAAACCCAAACCGUAAACCCUAAACCCAAACCCUAUAUCCUAAACCCAAAUCAUAGACUCUAAACUCAAA